rnacentral:rRNA from 1 species
UAUAAUGGGUCAGCGACUUAUAUUCUGUAGCAAGGUUAACCGUAUAGGGGAGCCGAAGGGAAACCGAGUCUUAACUGGGCGUUAAGUUGCAGGGUAUAGACCCGAAACCCGGUGAUCUAGCCAUGGGCAGGUUGAAGGUUGGGUAACACUAACUGGAGGACCGAACCGACUAAUGUUGAAAAAUUAGCGGAUGACCUGUGGCUGGGGGUGAAAGGCCAAUCAAACCGGGAGAUAGCUGGUUCUCCCCGAAAGCUAUUUAGGUAGCGCCUCGUGAACUCAUCUUCGGGGGUAGAGCACUGUUUCGGCUAGGGGGCCAUCCCGGCUUACCAACCCGAUGCAAACUACGAAUACCGAAGAAUGUUAUCACGGGAGACACACGGCGGGUGCUAACGUCCGUCGUGAAGAGGGAAACAACCCAGACCGCCAGCUAAGGUCCCAAAGUCAUGGUUAAGUGGGAAACGAUGUGGGAAGGCCCAGACAGCCAGGAUGUUGGCUUAGAAGCAGCCAUCAUUUAAAGAAAGCGUAAUAGCUCACUGGUCGAGUCGGCCUGCGCGGAAGAUGUAACGGGGCUAAACCAUGCACCGAAGCUGCGGCAGCGACACUAUGUGUUGUUGG